AUUGAACGCUGGCGGCAGGCCUAACACAUGCAAGUCGAACGGUAACAGGAAACAGCUUGCUGUUUCGCUGACGAGUGGCGGACGGGUGAGUAAUGUCUGGGAAACUGCCUGAUGGAGGGGGAUAACUACUGGAAACGGUAGCUAAUACCGCAUAACGUCGCAAGCCCAAAGAGGGGGACCCUCGGGCCUCUUGCCAUCGGAUGUGCCCAGGUGGGAUUAGCUUGUUGGUGGGGUAACGGCUCACCAAGGCGACGAUCCCUAGCUGGUCUGAGAGGAUGACCAGCCACACUGGAACUGAGACACGGUCCAGACGCCUACGGGAGGCAGCAGUGGGGAAUAUUGCACAAUGGGCGCAAGCCUGAUGCAGCCAUGCCGCGUGUAUGAAGAAGGCCUUCGGGUUGUAAAGUACUUUCAGCGGGGAGGAAGGGAGUAAAGUUAAUACCUUUGCUCAUUGACGUUACCCGCAGAAGAAGCACCGGCUAACUACGUG
rnacentral:rRNA from 1 species